UACGUAGGGGGCGAGCGUUGUCCGGAUUUAUUGGGCGUAAAGAGCGUGUAGGCGGUUCGGUAAGUCUGUCGUGAAAUCCUGGGGCUCAACCCCGGCAGUGCACCCGAAACGACGAUGCUAGAGUGCUGGAGAGGCGGGUGGAAUUCCCGGUGUAGAGGUGAAAUUCGUAGAUAUCGGGAGGAACACCGGUGGCGAAGGCGGCCCGCUGGCCAGCGACUGACGCUGAGACGCGAAAGCGUGGGGAGCAAACAGG
rnacentral:rRNA from 1 species